rnacentral:rRNA from 1 species
CGAACGCUGGCGGCGUGCUUAACACAUGCAAGUCGAACGGUAAGGCCCCAGCUUGCUGGGGUACACGAGUGGCGAACGGGUGAGUAACACGUGGGUGACCUGCCCCGCACUUCGGGAUAAGCCUGGGAAACUGGGUCUAAUACCGGAUAGGACCGCACCGUGAGGGUGUGGUGGAAAGUUUUUCGGUGUGGGAUGGGCCCGCGGCCUAUCAGCUUGUUGGUGGGGUAAUGGCCUACCAAGGCGGCGACGGGUAGCCGGCCUGAGAGGGUGGACGGCCACAUUGGGACUGAGACACGGCCCAGACUCCUACGGGAGGCAGCAGUGGGGAAUAUUGCACAAUGGGCGGAAGCCUGAUGCAGCGACGCCGCGUGGGGGAUGACGGCCUUCGGGUUGUAAACUCCUUUCACCAUCGACGAAGGUUUUCUGACGGUAGAUGGAGAAGAAGCACCGGCUAACUAC